AUACCUUCCCUUGUGUAGAUUAGUCCAUUUGGAGCAAUAAUGGUGGUGGUGGUGGUGGUAGAUGUACUAGUAGUGUUGGUAGUGGGCACACACAUACACUCAGACAAGCGAGGGUCGUGCUUCGCCUAAAUAUCACACUUGAUGGGUUGAACACCAAAUGGCGGUCCUUUAAUGAGGGAAAGUAUUCACAAUUCAGCGUGUGUGCGCGAAUAGAAUGCAAAUGAAAGUCGACAUUUUCAUUCCACAACUCACGUGAACCAACACUACUAUGCAUUCGACAGUAUAUUUAGUAGUUGUCAUUGGUUCCUAUCCCUCCGUCGUCGCCGUCGAAGGUCUGUUUGAUAUAUGGGGAUGAGUGAGCGAGUUGCACCCACCAUUACUUAGAUAGCCACCUUCGCAUAGAUGUCCACUUUCACAUGGAUGCCCACCUCUCUUUGAUAUAGUAACGGUCAAGUAUUACAAAGGAUAGUAUGGUAUUUGAGGAGAGAAGCGCAGUGUGAAUUGGACUAAUGGUGAACUGGUUUACCAAAUUUGAACUCAAGUUCUCAAUCUUUGCUGUACAGUCCCUAUUGGAAGGGAUAAGUCAGACUUGUCUAUCAAACAUUGGAAGAGUUUCUGUUCUAUGUGGGUAAAGUGAAA